CGUCGCGGCUGGCAGUUAUGCACACAUUUAAUGAAAACCAAUGCAAGAGUUUUUAGUUAAACGACUCGGCCGUUGCGUCUCGAUAUUCGGCAGUAGACUGCCGCAUCUUGUCUGCUUUGACACCAGUCUAGACGCGUCCGCCAAGGAUUACUUCGUGUUUUUUGUAUUUUGAUUUUUAAUAAGUAAUAAAUAAUAAUUAGUUGUUGCUUUUAAUACAAAAUGAGUAAAACAUUAUCCAAUGAAGAAGGCGAAAUGUUGAUUGAAGAGGUUAGUAAAUAUCCACAAGUAUAUGACCACGGAAAUAAGGAUUUUAGGAAUAUAGAUAUUCGAGAAAAUAUUUGGAAGAACAUUAGUGAUGCUAUAAGAAAAGAUCGUGAAUUAUGCAAAAGUCGUUGGAAGAAUAUAAUAAACAAUUAUUUGAAGCACAAGCGGAAAAUGCCUACAGGCAGCUCUACUCUUACUAAGCAACCAAAAUGGCAUUUAUAUAAAUGUUUGGGUUUUUUGAAUACCGUAUCCUACGAGAGACCUUCUAUUACUAACACUGAAAACGAUGCACACACAAGUGACCAUGAAGAUGAUUCUCAUGAUAAUCAGUUUCUUCUUGAGGCAAAUUCGCCCAUGACGUUGUCAGAUUCAUCUCAUUUAUCAGAAUCAGAGCCUGCCGUUAAAAAAUAUCGGAAGUAAACUUCAGAUUCUGGAAGAUCUCGAGAAGCAACUCCAAGUAGUAGCAGAUCAGGGAUUUCGAAAAAACAAAAGAGUCAAGUGUUGGACAAUAUGGAUAAGAGGUCUCAGCAAAGACUGAAGCUUUUGAAAAGGAUUGUCAAUGACAUCGAGAAAGAGGAAGACGAAGUUGACGUAUUUAUGCGUAGCAUUGCAAUGACUGUAAAAAAAUGCCUAAACAUAAAAUUGCCAAAGCAAAAUGAGUACUUUGCAAAUUUUAAACGAUUUACAAAUGACAAACGAUUACUACAAUACCUCUGAUUUUAACAUGUACACUUUAACUAAUUUGUAAUAUAACUUUUAUUGAAAUUCGUACUUACCUUAGUGUUACUGCCCAC